CAGCCGCCACGGUAAUACGUAGGUCCCGAGCGUUGUCCGGAUUUAUUGGGCGUAAAGCGAGCGCAGGCGGUUAGAUAAGUCUGAAGUUAAAGGCUGUGGCUUAACCAUAGUACGCUUUGGAAACUGUUUAACUUGAGUGCAAGAGGGGAGAGUGGAAUUCCAUGUGUAGCGGUGAAAUGUGUAGAUAUAUGGAGGAACACCGGUGGCGAAAGCGGCUCUCUGGCUUGUAACUGACGCUGAGGCUCGAAAGCGUGGGGAGCAAACAGGAUUAGAUACCCCCGUAGUCCCUGUCUCUUAUACA
rnacentral:rRNA from 1 species